CACAGCUAGCAAUGAUCUUAAUGAGGAAACAUUGGAUGCGCUAAAGAAACAGGGACACGAGGUUGAUUCUUUUGGUAUUGGAACACAUUUGGUUACCUGUUACGCACAGCCUGCUCUAGGUGUUGUUUUCAAGUUGGUUGAGAUAAAUAAUCAACCUAGGAUCAAGCUUUCUGAAGAUGUUACAAAGGUCUCCAUUCCAUGUAAAAAACGGUGUUUCAGAUUGUAUGGGAAGGAAGGCUACCCCCUUGUUGACAUAAUGACUGGUGAAAAUGAG
rnacentral:misc_RNA from 1 species